rnacentral:tRNA from 1 species
CAGGACGUAGCUAAACACAAAGCAUCUCCUUUACACCGAGAGACUGUCCGUGCAAGUCGGACCGCCCUGA